AAUGUCUGGGAUUACCACUGUUGUGCAAGUUGCUUCUAAACUGUAAUCCGUUACAGAUUACUUGUUACUGUUAUUUAAAAGUAAUUCCUUGCC